AACGCACGAGACCUGCGGACCUGCGGAAGGAUCAUUGAUGAGAAACUGCCCCUCGCGGGUAGAUCUCCCACCCUUUGUAAACUUACCUUUGUUGCUUUGGCAGGCCCGUCUCCGGACCGCCGGCUUCGGCUGGCCAGUGCCUGCCAGAGGAUUCUAAAACUCUGUCUGUCAGUGUUGUCUGAGUCUAUAUACAAUCGUUAAAACUUUUAACAAUGGAUCUCUAGAUCGGAAGAGCACACG
rnacentral:misc_RNA from 1 species